rnacentral:rRNA from 1 species
UACGAAGGGUGCUAGCGUUGUUCGGAAUUACUGGGCGUAAAGCGCGCGUAGGCGGGCUGUCAAGUCAGGGGUGAAAUCCCGGAGCUCAACUCCGGAACUGCCUUUGAAACUGUCAGCCUGGAGUGUGUGAGGGGAUAGCGGAAUUCCUAAUGUAGAGGUGAAAUUCGUAGAUAUUAGGAGGAACACCGGUGGCGAAGGCGGCUAUCUGGCACACAACUGACGCUGAGGUGCGAAAGCGUGGGGAUCAAACAGG